GUCGUGAGAUGUUGGGUUAAGUCCCGCAACGAGCGCAACCCUUGUUCCAUGUUGCCAGCGGGUGAUGCCGGGGACUCAUGGGAGACUGCCGGGGUCAACUCGGAGGAAGGUGGGGAUGACGUCAAGUCAUCAUGCCCCUUAUGUCCAGGGCUUCACACAUGCUACAAUGGCCUAUACAGAGGGCUGCGAGACCGUGAGGUGGAGCGAAUCCCUUAAAGUGGGUCUCAGUUCGGAUCGGGGUCUGCAACUCGACCCCGUGAAGUUGGAGUCGCUAGUAAUCGCAGAUCAGCAACGCUGCGGUGAAUACGUUCCCGGGCCUUGUACACACCGCCCGUCACGUCACGAAAGUUGGUAACACCCGAAGCCGAUGGCCUAACCACUUGUGGGGGGAGUCGUCGAAGGUGGGACUGGCGAUUGGGACGAAGUCGUAACAAGGUAGCCGUACCGGAAGGUGCGGCUGGAUCACCUCCUUUCUAAGGAGUCUCACCGUUUGGUGAGGUCGGUACACGUCUCGGUGACGGUUGCUGUGUUCGGGUGGCUGUCGGUCGGGGGUGUGUCCCUCCUUUCACUGUUUCCACAUCGGAUCACGCGGUGCAUCCCCGGUUGGGGGUGGGCUGUGGGUGUGGCUGGGUGGAACACUUCUGCUGCUUGGUUCCGAACAUGUUGAAGCAGGCUUGGCACGCUGUUGGGUCCUGAGGAGACACCUGUUGGGUGUGUUCUUGGUCCGCCUCCUGGCCGGGUUCCUAACGCACUCUUGUGGUUUUGUGGGUGUGGUGGUGCUGGUGGGUUUUGGGGUGUGGUUGUGUGUUGAGUGUUGCAUAGUGGAUGCGAGCAUCUUGUUGUGGUCAAGUGUGUAAGGGCACAUGGUGGAUGUCUGGGCAUCAGGAGCCGAUGAAGGACGUGGGAGGCCGCGAUAGUCCUCGGGGAGUUGUCAACCGAGCUGUGAUCCGAGGGUGU
rnacentral:sRNA from 1 species